UUCAUGAGUUGAUCCAAGACUUGACGUUGGCCUACGUAUUUCAUCAAGUCAAUGGAGUUCAACCUGUCGAGAAGCCCCUGAAACCAACCAGAGAGGAGAGAGCCAGCAGCAGCUACCGCAAAUUCCAUAGCAAAGAAUGAGUUGUAAGAGAAGAAAGAAGCUACGAACUCUGAAGAAAUUUGGAUGAAGAAAUUUGUAAACAACUGAAAAUGAAUUAGAUAUUGCAAUUGAAUGAAGGCUGCAGAGCUCAACAGACAUGGAUCACUGGUAUGCGAAUGACCUGAGAAAUAAGGAGAGAAAAAUGGUACAAUAAUUGGGUUAUGGUGGGUCCCAAUUAUUAUGUAUAAUGAAUUUUUAUAAAACAGGUUUUUUCACCCCAAUCAAGAUUCAUGAGUAGUCCACUUCAUUUAGCAUGCUUUACACUUUAUUUUUGGUCUGUUUUGCUCCAUUCUCUUUUUGAUUUUGAAAGAUUUGGUGGAUGGAGAAGUGUAAAGUUCCUCUCUUAUCAAAGUUGCCAAUGG
rnacentral:lncRNA from 1 species